CACUGUAAGGCCACCUUAAAUUCCCUUCACCAGUUUAUUCUGAUUAGCGCUUCCUUCCAUCUUUCACGAUGUUCGAGACAGCUGGAAAGGAGACGACUGCGCCCUACAGGUGAGAUGCUUGAUGGUACAAAACGAUCCACGUGCCAUGGGAAACCUUUGUGUCAGCUUCUGGGAGUCGGUGCAUUUAGUGAAUAUACUAAUAUUGUCCUCCCAGAAAUAGCUGUUGCCAAGCUAAAUAACUUGGCUGCACGGAAUACGUGAAUCCUAAAGAUUAUGACAAGCCUAUACAACAGGUCUUGAGAAAUGACCUAAGGAAGAGUCAGUUACUCAAUUGAGUGCAUUGGCAAGGUUGAAACAAUGAGCUGCAUUUGAAGCAAGUCACCCUAUUCUGGGUACAACUGUGCUUGUUGGAAUAGCUGCUGUAGGUGAAGAACUUGCAGUGGAUGCGAGAGGUUAUGUGUUGGGAAGUACUAUGAAAGGAUCCCUUUACGGCGGAGGGUUUAGAGGAAAGGAUGGUAUCCCGAGGCUGUCAGAGGAAUAUUUGGCUGGAACACUGAAACUGGAUAAAAUAAUUUAUCACACUAUGCCAUUGGACAAAAUAAAUGAGGCGUUUGAUCUCAUGCUCGCUGG